AGUUGGAAAAGGCUUUGACACUAAACCCAAAAAAGGAGACCUCGUCAUCUUAAAAGUUGAUGGUAGAUUAUCUGAUGAUGCUCUUGUGGACACAGGAUGCAAAAUGCUUAUUAUGAAUGAUGGAGACGCAAUUUUUGCUUUGGAGUCAGCGGCCGCAGACAUGGAGGUGGGGGAAAAAUGCGAAAUUUUGGCAUCUUCAAAGUUUGCAUAUGGCUCAGUAGGCAGACAGCCAGAUAUUCCAAGAGAUGCAGACAUUAAGUAUACUUUGGAACUUGUUAAGACAGUGUCUUCUACAAACAUAUUUGACAUAGCAGUGGCUCAAA